UACGUAGGGUCCGAGCGUUGUCCGGAAUUAUUGGGCGUAAAGGGCUCGUAGGCGGUUUGUCGCGUCGGGAGUGAAAACACGGGGCUUAACCCCGUGCCUGCUUCCGAUACGGGCAGACUAGAGGUAUGCAGGGGAGAACGGAAUUCCUGGUGUAGCGGUGAAAUGCGCAGAUAUCAGGAGGAACACCGGUGGCGAAGGCGGGACUCUGGGCCGAUACUGACGCUGAGGAGCGAAAGCGUGGGGAGCAAACAGG
rnacentral:rRNA from 1 species